rnacentral:rRNA from 1 species
CCUACGGGAGGCAGCAGUGAGGAAUAUUGGUCAAUGGGCGGAAGCCUGAACCAGCCAAGUCGCGUGAGGGAAUAAGGCCCUACGGGUUGUAAACCUCUUUUGCCGGGGAGCAAGGGCCGGGACGAGUCCCGGUCCGGAGAGUACCCGGAGAAAAAGCAUCGGCUAACUCCGUGCCAGCAGCCGCGGUAAUACGGAGGAUGCGAGCGUUAUCCGGAUUUAUUGGGUUUAAGGGGUGCGUAGGCGGGCCAUUAAGUCAGCGGUAAAAAUUCGGGGCGAAACCCCGUCCGGCCGUUGAAACUGGGGGCCUUGAGUGGGCGAGAAGAAGGCGGAAUGCGUGGUGUAGCGGUGAAAUGCAUAGAUAUCACGCAGAACCCCGAUUGCGAAGGCAGCCUUCCGGCGCCCUACUGACGCUGAGGCACGAAAGUGCGGGGAUCGAACAGGAUUAGAUACCCGAGUAGUC